rnacentral:lncRNA from 1 species
UUUAACCUUUGGCUGUAAGAAUACAAUUGUGAAAUAUACGUGGAUUCAUAAUGGAUAAACUUUUGCAUACUAUUGUUCCUGUGUUAGUCUUCUUUGCCGUUGUAACAACCGGACUCAUCUGUCAAUUUCCACAUUGCGAGACAGUACAUUGUGAUCCGGUAGAUCCGGAUAACUGUACCGGACAUAUCCGCAUGGGUGGUGGCUACUGUGGAUGCUGUCUUGCCUGUUUUACUUACAUAGGUUACAGGGAACCUUGCGAACAUAAAGACCCUUUAGAAGAAAUAAUUCACCCACCAACUGCUUUUUGUAACAUAGGUCUCUACUGUGACCGUAAAACCUUAACUUGUGUGCCCAUGCCUGAUAUCGGAUAGAUGCUCUUGUAACUGAUUUCAGGGUGAUAUUAAAGAAAAUGAAAUAGAACACAA